UGAGAUAUAUAUAUAUAUAUAUUGAGCAACUGAAAUUGACUAUUGAGGAUUAAGUGUCUGUUUGAUUAAGCAAUUGAAGUUGUCUCUUUACAGCGCUAACUGCAAUAACGGCUAAAUUAAAGAGACCCCAAAACUGAGGCAAGGCUCCAAUUAAUGAGCUGAAGUUAUAAGCAAUAUUUCAUUUGUCAAAUUAACAGCUAAAGUUCUUUACGGCCAGUGACCAGCUUCACUCCCCAAUUCAAAUCCUCACAGUGUCUCAAGUAAGGAAACAGAGAACCAGCAUCAAAUUUCACCUUUGCUUGGCAAUCAUAAGUUGGAGGAAAGUGAAAGCAAGGCUCCAUAGACAAGUCUCUUCUACAAGGUGGAUUUGGGAUAGUUUUAUCAUCUGUCUUGUACAGAAUCCAUGGCUUCAAACCUCCUAGUCCCUGAGCAACAUAGCCAAAAGUAGACCAAGCACUAGUCACCAACACA
rnacentral:misc_RNA from 1 species